rnacentral:rRNA from 1 species
UACGGAGGGUGCAAGCGUUAUCCGGAUUCACUGGGUUUAAAGGGUGCGUAGGUGGGCUGGUAAGUCAGUGGUGAAAUCUCCGGGCUUAACUCGGAAACUGCCAUUGAUACUAUCAGUCUUGAAUACCGUGGAGGUCAGUAGAAUAUGUCAUGUAGCGGUGAAUGCUUAGAUAUCUGGAGGAACACCGGUGGCGAAGGCGGCAUCCUGGACCGGCAUUGACGCUGAGGCGCGAAAGCCAGGGAGCAAGCGGG